AUGUGGAGGGAUCCCUGGAUCCCGACGGGAUCAUCAAGGUACCCAUCUUCUGUCAGGGGCCAAGCUUUGUCAACGAAAGUGGCAGAGUUGAUCAAUCCGGCGAUAGAGCAAUGGGACGCUGAGCUUCUAAAUGAUCUGUUUGGGCCGGCAGAUGUUGUGCAUACCUUGCCUAUUCCCCUCUGCAACGGCAUGGAAGGUCACUUGGCAUGGCACUAUGAUACCAAGGGGAUCUUUAGCGUGAAGUCCGUAUACCAGCUUGGGUCGAGGAUCCGGGACUCGACUCACCACAGGAUCCGGGACUCGGCUCGACUCACUACGCUUGUUUCUUCCAGACGAAACAAACUUUGGGCCUUGCGGCUCCCUGCUAAAGUGCGGGUUUUCGUCUGGCUGCUCGCGCAUGACAGUCGGCCAAGGCUCAUGAACAUCAAAAGCAAGCAUGUUGAGCUGGACACCCGAUUCUCUUCUUUGCUGCAAGUUUGUAAAGCAUGUUUGAAGGCAAAUGAAUAUGGAGGAGACAAGGGGGAAAAGGCGCGGACUGUUGAUGAGGUUUGUUUCACGAUCCAGAAGCAUAUCAUGGAGUUCAUGAUAGAUGGAUCCAACGAUGGCGCGUACGGGUAUAUCCUGCAAUCGGACUUAGGCGAGUUCAUUGCAGCUGGAGCUGGCAAGCUUAGGCAUGUCAAUAACGCCCUUAAAGCUGAGGCAGAUGUGUGCCUUGCAGUGUUCGAAGUUCAAGCUCUAAACUCCGGUGAAUCAGAUCGAGCAGAGCUGGGGUCCUGUUUCGGGGAUGCUACAAAAAGCCGGAUUCACCCGUGGCCGUGCGGUCGCCAGUUGGUUCUCUCUCCUCGGAUCACGCAUGAGGCACGGCACAAGGUACUAUAG
rnacentral:rRNA from 1 species